AUCAGGCAGGUACACACGAUGACGAGCGCGACGCCGAGGAAGAUCGUGCGCGAUUAAAAUCCGCGCCUGCCGCGCUCGCGAUUUAUCGAUCGAGCUCUCCCGCUCGCUCGGGAUGCUGAGGACGUGUGUACCGUAAUAUGCUGCGUCGGCGGCUUCACUCAAGCCGAAGAGCUAGCCGCCAUGCAUCGCUUGGAGUCUAAACUGAUCUGGAAAUUAUUUAGAAGCAUCAACAGAAAAAUGUGAUCCAACCACCACGCCAGUUUUUAAAUAGAUUUCUUGGUGGUGACAAAUCUCUUGUCGGCGCCUCUCACGCGAUUGCUUAAGUAGAGCAAGAAAAUGUCAGUCAGACAAAAAUAGUCAGACAGUAAUGUUGAAUAUACUCAAAGGAAUCUAUGUUAAUCCAGUGUUCUUUGCCAUCGCAUUCUGUUAUAUUAUUACAGAAUGAAAAUAUAGGACAUAAAUUUGCUAAACUAGAAAAAUACAGCUAAUACAGCUAAGAAUUUUUUUUCUAGUUUAGCAAAUCUAUUUGAUAUUUUUCUUUCCGUGAUUAACUAAAUUGUUGCACUACAUAAAUUUAGAAUAUAUGUAAUAAUAUUUUAGAACACACGUAGAAUAUAUGUAAAUAUAAAUAAAUAAAAUAUCUAAAAUUUAAAACUGUUAUAUUUAAGAGAUUCAAAUGUAAAUAUGUUUUAGCAAGAAUUAAAUUGUCUCAUUAACAU